rnacentral:rRNA from 1 species
GGGGGAAACACCUGCUCUACCAUGCAGUCGAGCGGAUGAAGGGAGCUUGCUCCUGGAUUCAGCGGCGGACGGGUGAGUAAUGCCUAGGAAUCUGCCUGGUAGUGGGGGAUAACGUCCGGAAACGGGCGCUAAUACCGCAUACGUCCUGAGGGAGAAAGUGGGGGAUCUUCGGACCUCACGCUAUCAGAUGAGCCUAGGUCGGAUUAGCUAGUUGGUGGGGUAAAGGCCUACCAAGGCGACGAUCCGUAACUGGUCUGAGAGGAUGAUCAGUCACACUGGAACUGAGACACGGUCCAGACUCCUACGGGAGGCAGCAGUGGGGAAUAUUGGACAAUGGGCGAAAGCCUGAUCCAGCCAUGCCGCGUGUGUGAAGAAGGUCUUCGGAUUGUAAAGCACUUUAAGUUGGGAGGAAGGGCAGUAAGUUAAUACCUUGCUGUUUUGACGUUACCAACAGAAUAAGCACCGGCUAACUUCGUGCCAGCAGCCGCGGUAAUACGAAGGGUGCAAGCGUUAAUCGGAAUUACUGGGCGUAAAGCGCGCGUAGGUGGUUCAGCAAGUUGGAUGUGAAAUCCCCGGGCUCAACCUGGGAACUGCAUCCAAAACUACUGAGCUAGAGUACGGUAGAGGGUGGUGGAAUUUCCUGUGUAGCGGUGAAAUGGCUUAGAAAG